AUUUACUAUCAUACCACACUGAAGACACCCAAUACCGUCCGAUCUUGGAAGCUAAACAGUGUAGGGCUUGGUUAGUACUUGGAUGGGAGACCACCUGGGAAUACCAAGUUUAGUAGAAC